CCGUGCCAGCAGCCGCGGUAAUACGGAGGGUGCGAGCGUUAAUCGGAAUUACUGGGCGUAAAGCGCAUGCAGGCGGCCUGUUAAGUCAGAUGUGAAAGACCCGGGGCGUUAACCUCGGAAUUGCAUUUGAAACUAGGCAGGCUAGAGUCUUGUAGAGGGGGGUAGGAAGUUUCAGGUGUAGCGGUGAAAUAGCGUAGAGAUCUGAAGGAAUACCAGUGGCGAAGGCGGCCCCCUCGGACAAAGACUGACGCUCAGAUGCGAAAGCGUGGGGAGCAAACAGGAUUAGAUACCCUGGUAG
rnacentral:rRNA from 1 species